GUCCAGGGGCGGGAAUCGAACCUGCCCGGUAAGCAGAAGGGUGUGGGUUCGAUUCCCGCCCCUGGACA